AUCAUGGCGAUGCACGAGGCUCUGUGAGCAGGAGCCCCGCCGUGUUCACAGCUCCUCUCCCCGGCUCGGGGGCUCAACGUGCGGCGGACGCUCCUCGCGGCGAGCCUCGCCUCCCAUCGUCCCCCGGAUCCGCUUCAACCUCCUCUCCUCUCUCCAUCCUUCCUCCAGAGAAAAGGAGAAGGGGAAGACGAAGCGGCGCACGCCGAGAGCGGGGGCGACAGGACCGGGGAAAGUAACUGGAGCACAGAGAAAUCAUCCAGGGUCUCCUGCCUGGGACUCCAGCCUGAAGGGCCCAGCUUGAGUGCAGCGAAGUGUCCCCAGGGAAGGAGAGUGCAGCUUGGUCUUUAACUGAUCCAACACUCCCACUGCUUACCUUCGAUUUACCGUUCCAAUAAAGAACUUCCUCUUCGCCCUGGGGCCCUGACUCCACAUUCUUCCGGUUCUCUCACACCUCAAUCUUCUCAGCUCUCCUCGAUCAACC